CCAAUUCCUUCUUAAAUUCAGACAGGCUUGGUGCAGUGACUACUUCACUGGGGAGCCUGUUCCAGUGUGUGACCACCCUCUUGGUGAAGAACCUCUUCCUGACGUCCAGCCUAAACUUCCCCUGCCUAAGUUUAACACCAUUCCUGCAGUCCUAUCACUGAUGUUUACAGAU